CGGAAACGCGACCCACUGAGAAGAUCCGGCGAGAAUCUCAGUGGGCUGUGUCUGUGUGAUAAGGAGCUCUUAGUUAAAAAAAGGAAAUAAUUAUUGGCCUUGAGUAUAAUGAAACAAAAAAAAAACGUUUUAAUGAGCUUAUACAAAUUAAUUAUACGUGUUGCCACUACUAAAGCCAAAUCUGUUCGGCCGAGCUUUUUUUAAUGAAGAAUUAAGCACAUUUAAUUUUGUCUUGCUUGGUCGUGCGCAUAUGGCUUAAUAUAUGUUACAAGUCAGAUUUUUUACUUGUUGUUACUUAUUGUGUAUCUUUUUAGCUUGUAAUGUGUAUUGUGUGCCUAAUAAAUAAAUAAAUAGAUUACUUGUAACCCGGACGGCUUUUCAGUUUCACCAGGACAUGGGAGCCUCUGCCGCGUUUUAAGUACUCGCUUUAUAUAAAGACAAUGGGUCCGGGACUGCUUCAGGCUGCAUUUUAGGUACAUAGUGUUGGUAAUUAGGGGCCUGUGUAACUAUACCACCACUCUGCCCAUUUCUGCUGCGAAUCUAUAAUUAAAUACACUUCUUCUUUCUUCUUCUUAGUCGAAUACUUCAUUGCUGAAGGUCGUGUCCUUGAAAGCCCUUCGUGGCUCUUUGUACCCUCAGCUUCCAUUUGCUUCGGUUUUCGGCUUCUCUCAGGGCGUUCGUAACAGAGAGUCCAGUGAGCGCAGUUAUCUGAUCCGACCAACCUUCGAUCAACAAUAGUAACUAGAUUUCGGGUCGGCGCAAAAAUCCGUCUCGUUAAAUAACAGCGCACUUCAAAUGUGAGCUCUUAUUUUGUCUAGUUCACUCCAGACACAGCCAAUGUCAACCCGUCUCACAAUGCCGCAGUGUGUAUUCAAAAAUUGCAAAAAAUGCCCGAAAAAGCAAUUUAACGGCCGGAGUAUCUUACUUUCGCUUUCCUAGCAAUCACGUGUGCAGAAUGGAUCUCGAUUGUCGCCAGAGAAAGAAGAGAUUACUUUUAUAAGCCAGCUAAGAACUCCACUCAUUGACACUGGACAUCUUUGCCUUCCGUGUUCACGGCUACUGAAACGUGGCCGAAGCAUUGUAAUAAAAAUAUCGCGCUCAAAACCGUUUAAA